AUUGAACGCUGGCGGCAGGCUUAACACAUGCAAGCCGAGCGGGGGAAGGUAGCUUGCUACCGGACCUAGCGGCGGACGGGUGAGUAAUGCUUAGGAAUCUGCCUAUUAGUGGGGGACAACAUCUCGAAAGGGAUGCUAACACCGCAUACGUCCUACGGGAGAAAGCAGGGGAUCUUCGGACCUUGCGCUAAUAGAUGAGCCUAAGUCGGAUUAGCUAGUUGGUGGGGUAAAGGCCUACAAAGGCGACGAUCUGUAGCGGGUCUGAGAGGAUGAUCCGCCACACUGGGACUGAGACACGGCCCAGACUCCUACGGGAGGCAGCAGUGGGGAAUAUUGGACAAUGGGGGGAACCCUGAUCCAGCCAUGCCGCGUGUGUGAAGAAGGCCUUAUGGUUGUAAAGCACUUUAAGCGAGGAGGAGGCUACUCUAGUUAAUACCUAGGGAUAGUGGACGUUACUCGCAGAAUAAGCACCGGCUAACUCUGUGCCAGCCGCCGCGGUAA
rnacentral:rRNA from 1 species